rnacentral:rRNA from 1 species
GCCUAACACAUGCAAGUCGAACGGCAGCACAGGAGAGCUUGCUCUCUGGGUGGCGAGUGGCGGACGCGGUGAGGAAUACAUCGGAAUCUACCUUUUCGUGGGGGAUAACAUAGGGAAACUUACGCUAAUACCGCAUACGACCUACGGGUGAAAGUGGGGGACCGCAAGGCCUCACGCGAUUAGAUGAGCCGAUGUCCGAUUAGCUAGUUGGCGGGGUAAUGGCCCACCAAGGCGACGAUCGGUAGCUGGUCUGAGAGGAUGAUCAGCCACACUGGAACUGAGACACGGUCCAGACUCCUACGGGAGGCAGCAGUGGGGAAUAUUGGACAAUGGGCGCAAGCCUGAUCCAGCCAUACCGCGUGGGUGAAGAAGGCCUUCGGGUUGUAAAGCCCUUUUGUUGGGAAAGAAAUCCUAUCGGUUAAUAACCGGUGGGGAUGACGGUACCCAAAGAAUAAGCACCGGCUAACUUCGUGCCAGCAGCCGCGGUAAUACGAAGGGUGCAAGCGUUACUCGGAAUUACUGGGCGUAAAGCGUGCGUAGGUGGUGGUUUAAGUCUGCUGUGAAAGCCCUGGGCUCAACCUGGGAAUUGCAGUGGAUACUGGAUCACUAGAGUGUGGUAGAGGGAUGCGGAAUUUCUGGUGUAGCAGUGAAAUGCGUAGAGAUCAGAAGGAACAUCCGUGGCGAAGGCGGC